GGGACCUUCGGGCCUUGCGCUAUCAGAUGGAGCCUAGGUCGGAUUAGCUAGUUGGUGGGGUAUGGCUCACCAAGGCGACGAUCCGUAACUGGUCUGAGAGGAUGAUC
rnacentral:rRNA from 1 species